GGGCGUAUAGCUCAGUGGCAGCUGCCAGAGCAUCUAGAGAAUUCGACUGCAGAUCGAGAUGUCCCUGGUUCAACUCCGGAUGCCCCCU
rnacentral:tRNA from 1 species